UGUGUCAAAUGAGAAGCCAAUGCAUCAACGUCCUUUACGAUAGGCUGGCUGAAUACUAACAUACGCUUUAGCAAUGGGAAUAAAGAAAAAAAAAGCCCUUCUUAUAGGUAAAGAACAAGUAUAAAUGUGCUCACAACACGCAUACAGUCACUGACAAACAUACAAACACACAGCUGGCUAAUAAAUGUCCAGCGGUUUCAUAACGUUAAAAGAAUAACAGGUUAACAUUAUUGACCUUUUGAGGGGGUUUUUUUAGUGGGGAGGGAGGUAUCUCUUAUCGGCUGCCCCCUGCCCGGGUAUCUGUCUGAGAGGUAAUCCAUGCGGGUCAUUGACCAGUGGUGGCCCUAAUGUGUUGCUCACUGUGGAUGGGGGGGGGGGGGAGGGGGGCCGGCGGAAGCCCCGGCCGGACAGCGGUCAGAGGCAGACAGGCGGUCAAGGGUAACCCUGCCUUGCUGACCGGCCCUGGUCCACAGAGCCCCGGCCUAAUGGUGCGUUGGGCCAUUAGUAUUGAGUGGCUGAACACAUUGUUCACUUUUUAGCUGCAUUCCUGACUAAAUACAGAGAUGUCCACAGCUGUAGUCCUCGGCACCAGAGGUCAUUUGUCAACCGGCGACGCAGCGUUCAGAAUUGAAGGCUUGUCUGAUUGGCGCCAAGUAAGCAAAAGAGACAUCCGCUUUUCUUUGAGUUUUUCUCUUACUACGUAUUUCAUAAGAGUCCGUUGAUGCCUCCCUAGAAUAUUUCAAAAGGUUGGCCAACUCGUUUUUUGAGAGACUGACCAAAGCAUUCUGGGUGCAUUUGUGUGAGUGGUGUGAGUUGAUCCUGGCCACAGUGCCAUUUCAUUCAAGUUCAAGUUCAACAAUUGAAUUGUCAGCUGCACGGAAAAACACAAGAGUAAGAAAGAGUGAAAUUAGGGAAAUCGCCAGCAGUCACUGCCUAAUCCGGCCAAACUAUUCCUGAAAGAUCAAAAGUGCUGGAUAAAAAUACAAAUAUACAUUUAUAUCGAAGGAGAUAUAUACUAGAAGUAGUUUAGAAAUACGUUUAUUACAGGGUAUUAAUAUAACUGACAAAACAGGUUGGCCCCAAGAGGAUCAUGUAAUGGUUUGUUGAUUCAGUAGUGUGAAUGGUUUCUAGAGAUAACUGAAAUCACUGUCCUCGUCAAUACAGUGAAAACGUACAUAUCAGUACAUAGACACAAAGAUGGCGGGCCUGGAAGCAACCCAAACAACAAGACAAACCGAAGCUGGAUUUAUGGGUCAAAUAGUUUUCCUUGAUGCUUGGGAGGCAUGUUUAAAGUUUCUAUAGAUACAUAUUGAGAUAUCCACUCAUGAACAACAAAUUAGAUCAGUACGGUAUCAGCCCACUAAAGAACUGGUAUACUUAUUACGUUGUAUUAUCUUUAGUCAUUUAUAAAAGAUUCCUCUAAUUCUCAAAGCCAUUAGCUACCCUUCAGUCCCCUGCUGUGUCACAUCAUAAGGUGUGUGUGUUUGUGUGUGUGUGCCUGUGAAUCUAGGCUAACUAGUAAAACAGCUAUAUGACACAUCAAUCAUCUCUUCGCUGCGGGGCCAUUGGGGAUUUGGACGCCGUCUUGCGUUGCGGCACAAAAGGAGGAAGAACGCAAUCAUCAUCAGGCCCCUUUUCUGAACCACCGACAACAAGGGGAUCCACUCCCCCUCUCCGCCCUCCCACCUCUCUCUCUCCCCCCAUCCCGCUCUCUCACACACUCAGUUCCGCAGGCGUGCCGGAGUGAGGUCUCUUCACUUGUCAAAAGCGCCACCAAACUAUGAGCUGCUCUGCAUCAUUAUGAGGACAAUGAGAGUCCCUGGCCCCACUGCCCGCACCAUUGUCUCGCCACUCCUCCCCACACACACACACACACACACACACACACACACACACACACACACACACACACACACACACACACACACACACACACACACACAAACACCACCUCCAUCCCACAAAGACACACACCCACCAGUCCUUAUCCUUAUCCCAUCACAGCAAAGAGAGACCGGCACAGACACGUGGUGGUAAUGGUAACUUUCAAAAUAAGCAAAAGUGGAAAAUGACAAACAAGCACAAAAGUGGAGAGAUGUGAGAAUGCCAACAGUGUUAAAGAUUUCAUGGCAUGGUUGGGCGUCUAUCAGUGUGUGGUUUUGUGUGUUUUUAAAUGUGCGUGGGUUCUCUAGUCAUCUCCUGUACUUAAUGAAGCAUUAGCACAACCUUUGAGCCACAAUGAAGGCUGAAACUACCGGAGGACGACGAAAAGCAGAUACUAGUUCCUUAUUGCCUAUCAGAUGACUCACACAUGCACACAAACACACACACACACACUGUGGACCACAGCAAUACUCCGAGGACAUCUUACGAAUGAAUCAGCUGCAACAAAGGGCAGGUAAACAACGCUGAUUGGUUUUAGUUUCCUGUAAGAUGAGGGGGAAAAAGUGACUUCUAAGAAGGAUUCAAACGCACACCUUGGCUUCCUUCCCGGUCACUACGCCAUGGUAACAAACGACACAACCUGGUCAUAUCCCUCUGAAUCAUAUCCAUUCUUUGGCUCAAGGCUGAAAAUCCUCUUGUCCACGCGUUGUAAUGAGUUGAGUGGUGAAGGACCCAGAAUAGAGUGUGUGUGCUUACAGUGGGGAGGGGGGGGCAAUGUAAAGCAGCGCUGCACUAAGCAGGAAAGAUAGAUAGAAAGAGAGAGAGGACUUAUCGAGCAAAGACAAGACCUAAUCCCGCACCUCCAAGAUUAACAGUUAGAUGAUUAAAUUUUUUUGAUCCUAUACAUACCCACCCACACACCCUAUUUAUAUCAGAUCUCAUCCUGCAGUCUGUGUCCGCCGCAUCAAACAAUCCACACUGACGAAGGAUAACCCCCAGCAGUUUAAUAAUUCUACUAUUUAAAGGCUCCCAUGUGGAGGAUUAGAGUGUAGCCGGUAGGUAAGCUAAUGGCACUGCAGAAGAACAUUCAGUCGUGUGUUUGUGUCCACAGAAUUAAACAGCAGAGCAGUCAACCACACACUUACCAACAAGUGACAACCGAUAAUUAACGCUUGUUCCAAGGUCGGAUCACAGUGCAGGUUUCUCUGCUCCUUCUAGGGUACCGCACAAAUGUACAUAAUCUGCAAAGCAAAUAACACCAACAGACCACGCGCUAACACCAAACACACACAGGCCAGGCUGGGUCAGCUUUUAGCCCGUUCCCUCCCUGAACCGCUCCGGCCCAUCCACUCUCCAACGGCCUGCUACUGCUACCCUACUUUCUACGACAAGCACGGCCUUUCUAGUAAAAGGGAUACUUGUGGUGGGAUGUGUGUGAUGUCAUAGCCCCCACCGCGGGCUGACGGCUGCUCCAGGGAGGGGUUGUGCAGGAAUGUGGUCGAGGGGUGGCGGAGUAAAGCCUCUGUAUAGUCAGGAGGGGAUAGGGUGGGGGAGGGGAACGACCCAGAGUGGAAAGCGUCCCACACACACUUUGUCAGCCAGUCAGUCACCAACACAUGGCCCGGUGCCAAAUGUGUUCCCUACCAGGCACGACUUAAAGAGAAAUGUGCUCCUGAAAGAAAAAGUACUUAUUCAAUGAAUGUGCAGAGUAAGACAGGGACACAUUGUAGUUUUCCAUGAUGCUGCAUCAAUUCCGAGAAAUGAGAAGCAUAGUGUUAUUGUGACACCCCAAAAAAUUCAAUAAUAAUAAUUGCUUAGUUGACAUUAUGAGUGUCUUGUAGGGACACUUCCUAGAUUUUGAAGAGAAACGCACGGGUUCAUAAAUGAUACACACUCAACCUCUCUCACACAAACAAUGCUCAGCUGACAGACUACUGGAAAGCCCCCCUGGCCUCACUGAAGUUUGCUGACAGGCAUACCUGACAAAUAUAUUGUUGGGGCUAAUCAGAGAGCUCUUUCUAUGUCUGGAAAGGUCCGAUCAUCCCGAGACAACAAGAAAUAACUUUUCUGGUGGCAACACGUCUCCGUCUCUCUCUCUCUCUCUCUCUCUCUCUCUCUCUCUCUCUCUCUCUCUCUCUCUCUCUCUCUCUCUCUCUCUCUCUCUCUCUCUCGCACAUUUCGUUCAGUUUAUUUUUUUGUGUAGUGAGUUAUUUAAAAAAAAAAAAAGGUGAACGACGUGGGGAAAUAGAUUGUCACGAUUCUCAGUGUGAAGCGGAUACAUUAAGGAUACAUUAUCCUACAUUUACAACUGUACACCACUUCCUCUUAAACUAGAGUUAAGUAGACUCGAGCUUUCCAUAUCUAAUCUACUCGGGAAUCAUGGUAUUCGCCUCAGAGGUCUGAGUUGUACUAGUGUGCGCAGAGAUUGAAAUACACUGAUUUAAUUAUUAGACUAACUGUUAAGACAAUUUGGAUGUUUUAGAGCUACCCUUCUUUGAAAAAAGUUAGUAAUGCAAGGCGGCAGAGCCACGCUGGCCCACGGGUUACUGAACGGAGAAGACAUACACAGACAGUAGGCUGUAGCGGAGAACACACAACCCAAAAUGUCUCUACGUACCAGUGUCUCCGGGGGUCUUCAUUGUUUUGAUCAAGUCAGACUGCAGGCAAGGAUCCGAAGAGUGUCGGGAGAAUUCCUCCGGAGACUUGGAGAACAAAAAGUCGGUCUGGUCUCAGCCUUUGGAUCCAAAUGAAGAAGAAGAAGUCGUCGAGGAAGCUCAAAUAAAGUUUCUGCCGCCUGGGUGCCUCUUCCCUCGCUAACCCUGUCCUCAGCCCACCGACAGGUUGUUUCCACUGAGUUGAACGGCCGAGACCUCGCUGUCCAGACACAGCGUUCAAUCCGCCGAAGAAGUUGUAGCGGAAAAGCGUACAGCCGUCCCGACUCCUCCGAACAACCAACAAACCCUUCGUCCCUUCACUUGUUUACAACUACUUUCACUCAACUGUCCUGUCGCCGUUUACUCCGCCUCGACCGCAUCUUCGUCGUUAUUAGACAUCUCGCGGCCAAAAUGAUUUCUUCUCUGUUAAAUUCCGAAACGAGACGGCUACCUCUCUCUUUCUCCACACUUUUUUUAUUCUUCUACUCACUCACACAACGCGACUCUCUCUCCUCCCCCAGUGCCUCUGUCGGAGCUCUGGGUGUCGUGUUUCGCUCGCUGUCUUCCGCGCG
ensembl:lncRNA